GACCGGCGCACGGGUGAGUAACGCGUAUCCAACCUGCCCACCACUUGGGGAUAACCUUGCGAAAGUAAGACUAAUACCCAAUGAUAUCCCACGAAGGCAUCCGAAUGGGAUUAAAGAUUUANCGGUGAUGGAUGGGGAUGCGUCUGAUUAGCUUGUUGGCGGGGUAACGGCCCACCAAGGCUACGAUCAGUAGGGGUUCUGAGAGGAAGGUCCCCCACAUUGGAACUGAGACACGGUCCAAACUCCUACGGGAGGCAGCAGUGAGGAAUAUUGGUCAAUGGGCGCAAGCCUGAACCAGCCAAGUAGCGUGAGGGAAGACUGCCCUACGGGUUGUAAACCUCUUUUGUUUGGGAAUAAAGUGCGGGACGUGUCCCGCAUUGCAUGUACCAUUUGAAUAAGGACCGGCUAAUUCCGUG
rnacentral:rRNA from 1 species